UGCGGAAGGAUCAUUAAAUAAUUAAUGGUUGUUGGAGAGAUUUAUUUCUUUUCUUCAGCUACAAAUUUACCGUGAACUGUAUUAUUACGCGGCGCUUGAGGAAUGCUUUCUGGUCAUAAUGGACAGGCCAGGAUAGAUGUUAACCGAGUCGCGAUCAAGCCUAGGCUUGGUGUCCUUAAUUAUUAUUAUCCAAAAGAAUUCAUUUUAAAAUAUUAUAAUAUGGCUUAAAAAACCAUUAAAACAACUUUUAACAACGGAUCUCUUGGUUCUCGCAUCGAUGAAGAACGUAGCAAAGUGCGAUAACUAGUGUGAAUUGCAUAUUCAGUGAAUCAUCGAGUCUUUGAACGCAUCUUGCGGUCGUUGGUAUUCCAACGACCACGCCUGUUUCAGUAUCAAAAACACCCCACAUUCAUAAUUUUAUUAUUAUUGAAUGGUUUUGGGAGUCUACCGGCUUUAGUGUCGGUUCUCCUUAAUAAUAUUUGGCCAAGGUUGUUCUUUCUGUCUUGCCUGAACUUUUUUUUAAUUUAAAAGAUUGUUCUUGCUAUUUUGUACAGAGGUUUCAAUAUCGUGGGCCCAUCAAAUAAUUUUUUUAAUUUUGAUCUGAAAUCAGGCGGGAUUACCCGCUGAACUUAAGCAUAUCAAUAACCCCGAAGGAAAGGAACAUUAAAUAAUUAAUGGUUGUUGGAGAGAUUUAUUUCUUUUCUUCAGCUACAAAUUUACCGUGAACUGUAUUAUUACGCGGCGCUGGAGGAAUGCUUUCUGGUCAUAAUGGACAGGCCAGGAUAGAUGUUAACCGAGUCGCGAUC
rnacentral:rRNA from 1 species